rnacentral:rRNA from 1 species
AUGUUCGUCUACGUCAUCUACGGCCAUCCGUUCAAGCUGGGCACCUCUACAUCACCGGGAUCGACUGCUUCGUCCCCGCGGCCGUCCGCGCCUCUCCGGCGAAUUUCGGCGCUCUCUGCUGCUCCCGGCAACCAACGAGCCUCCGUGAGCUCCCUUGACUACGAGACGGACGUCGCUGCUGCCUCGAUCGACUACGGUGUUGACGACCCCUCCUUCUUGCGAGAGCAACCAGAUGUUGGAGCCCAGGAACCAGACGCCACCGCCACCGACGACCCGUACUACAUCGAGGGUGCCUACUACUACGUGCAGGCCACUGAUGAUGACCAGGAGUAG